AAUGGUGGAAACACUGAUCCAGCCAUGCCGCGUGAAGGAUGACGGCCCUAUGGGUUGUAAACUUCUUUUGUACGGGAAAAAACCUCUUUACGUGUAAAGAGCUGAUUGUACUGUAAGAAUAAGGAUCGGCUAACUCCGUGCCAGCAGCUGCGGUAAUACGGAGGAUCCAAGCGUUAUCCGGAUUCAUUGGGUUUAAAGGGUGCGUAGGCGGAAUGAUAAGUCAGUGGUGAAAGCCUGCAGCUUAACUGCAGAACUGCCAUUGAUACUGUCAAUCUUGAGUACAUUUGAUGUGGGCGGAAUGUGUCAUGUAGCGGUGAAAUGCUUAGAUAUGACACAGAACACCGAUUGCGAAGGCAGCUCACAAAACUGUAACUGACGCUGAGGCACGAAAGCGUGGGUAUCAAA
rnacentral:rRNA from 1 species